UCCUCAUUUUCACCAAAAUCCCUCUUUUAUUUUACGCAAAGUUCAGCUUUUGCACCCCAAAACCUGCAUUUUUACCUCAAAACCUUUCUUUUCCCCCCCCCUCAAAAUCUUCACUUUUUACCUCAGGACUUCCUUCCAACCACCAAAAUCCGCAAUUUUAACCUCAACAUCUGCAAUUUUUACCUCAAAAUCUGGAAUUUUAACCUCAAAAUCCACAUUUUUACCAGCAAAUCCGCUUUUUUUUUCCCCCCCUCAAAAUCUUUACUUUUCCCUCCCCCACUACAAAAUCUCCCCCAGAUCCCAAAAUCUGCAUUUUUCACUUCUCAAAAUCUGCACUUUAAUCUCAAAAUCUGCAUUUCAAUCUCAAAAUCUGCAUUUUAAUCUCAAAAUCUCCGGGUUUCCCUCAAAAUCUUCACUUUUCACCUCACGAUUUCCUCCCCACCACAAAAUGUGCCUCCGACCCAAAAUCUGCGCUUUUCACCUCAAAAUCUGCACUUUUCACCUCAAAAUCUGCAUUUUAAUCUCAAAAUCUGCAUUUUUGCAUCAAAAUCUCUGAUUUUACGUCACAAAAUCUCAAUUUUUACCUCAAAAUCUCCACUUUUUACCUCACGAUUUCCUCCCCACCACAAAACCUGCCUCCGACCCAAAAUCUGCGCUUUUCACCCCAAAAUCUGCAUUUUUACCUCAAAAUCUGCUUUUUCCCCCUCAAAAGCUUCACUUUUUACCUCACGAUUUGCUCCCGGCUGCCAAAAUCCGCAAAUUUUACCUCAAAAUCUCCGGUUUUCCCUCAAGACCUUCACCUUUCACCUCACGAUUUCCUCCCCACCACAAAAUGUGCCUCCGACCCAAAAUCUGCGCUUUUCACCUCAAAAUCUGCACUUUUCACCUCAAAAUCUGCAUUUUUACCUCAAAAUCUCUGAUUCUACGUCACAAAAUCUCAUUUUUUCUCUCCAAAUCUCCACUUUUUACCUCACGAUUUCCUCCCCACCACAAAAUCCGCCUCCGACCCAAAAUCUGCGCUUUUCACCCCAAAACUCGCACUUUUCCGCUCACAACUUGAACAUUUCACUUCAGGAUUUCCUUCCCACCCCCCCAAAUCCGCCUUUUUCACCCCAAAAUCCGCAUUUUUACCUCAAAGCCUUCACUCUUCCCCUCCAAUCCCGCCCGUUUUCCCCUCACGACUUCCUCCAACCCCCAAAACGUUCCCUCAACCCCCCCAAAUUCUCCUUUUUUUUCCCUCAAAUUUCACCCUUUCACCCCAAAUUCUGCCUUUUUCACCCCAAAUUCAGCCCCUUUUCCCUCACACUUCGCUGCCUGACCCCAAAAUCUUCUUUUUUUGCCCCAAAAUUCCGCCCCCUCCCCAGUCCCGACCUGGGCUCCGCUGCAGAGCUCGCGGGGUGUGGGCGGGGCUUGUGGCAGUGACGUCACCGCGCGCCCGCCCCGAGUGGGCGGAGCCUUAAAAGGGCAACGCCGCGAGCUGAGUCACGGUGGGGCCCACCCGAGCUCUGGGGGGAUUUUGGGGUUCCCGAGGGGAUUUUGGGGUGUCCCGAGAAAGUUUUGGGGCGAUCCUGGGAGUUUUGGGGUGCGGCGGGUGUCCCACGGGUUUCGGGGUCCAGAGAGGGGAGAUUUUGGGGUUUCCGGGGCGAGAUUUUGGGGGUUCAAGGUCAAUUUUCGGGCAUUCGUUUUGGGGCUCCGCGUAAUUUUUGGGGUUCAGGGUCAGUUUUGGGGUGCCCGAGAUCAAAUCUGGGG
rnacentral:lncRNA from 1 species